rnacentral:rRNA from 1 species
AUUGAACGCUGGCGGCAGGCUUAACACAUGCAAGUCGAACGAGUGGCGGACGGGUGAGUAAUGCUUGGGAAUCUAGCUUAUGGAGGGGGAUAACUACGGGAAACUGUAGCUAAUACCGCGUACCAUAGGAUGAGCCCAAGUGGGAUUAGCUAGUAGGUGGGGUAACGGCUCACCUAGGCGACGAUCCCUAGCUGGUCUGAGAGGAUGACCGGCCAAACUGGAACUGAGACACGGUCCAGAGUCCUACGGGAGGCAGCAGUGGGGAAUAUUGCGCAAUGGGCGCAAGCCUGAUGCAGCCAUGCCGCGUGUGUGAAGAAGGCCUUCGGGUUGUAAAGCACUGUCAGCGGGGAGGCGUUACCCGCAGAAGAAGCACCGGCUAACUCCGUGCCAGCAGCCGCGGUAAUUC